CCUGAUGCAGCCAUGCCGCGUGUGUGAAGAAGGCCUUCGGGUUGUAAAGCACUUUCAGUUGUGAGGAAGGGGUGUUGGUUAAUACCCACCAUCAUUGACGUUAGCAACAGAAGAAGCACCGGCUAACUCCGUGCCAGCAGCCGCGGUAAUACGGAGGGUGCGAGCGUUAAUCGGAAUUACUGGGCGUAAAGCGCACGCAGGCGGUUUGUUAAGCUAGAUGUGAAAGCCCCGGGCUCAACCUGGGAUGGUCAUUUAGAACUGGCAGACUAGAGUCUUGGAGAGGGGAGUGGAAUUCCAGGUGUAGCGGUGAAAUGCGUAGAUAUCUGGAGGAACAUCAGUGGCGAAGGCGGCUCCCUGGCCAAAGACUGACGCUCAUGUGCGAAAGUGUGGGUAGCGAACAGGAUUAGAUACCCUGGUAGUCCACACCGUAAACGCUGUCUACUAGCUGUGUGUGAAUUUAAUUCGUGCGUAGCGAAGCUAACGCGCUAAGUAGACCGCCUGGGGAGUACGGCCGCAAGGUUAAAACUCAAAUGAAUUGACGGGGGCCCGCACAAGCGGUGGAGCAUGUGGUUUAAUUCGAUGCAACGCGAAGAACCUUACCUACACUUGACAUGCAGAGAACUUAGCAGAGAUGCUUUGGUGCCUUCGGGAACUCUGACACAGGUGCUGCAUGGCUGUCGUCAGCUCGUGUCGUGAGAUGUUGGGUUAAGUCCCGCAACGAGCGCAACCCUUGUCCUUAGUUGCCAGCCUUAAGUUGGGCACUCUAAGGAGACUGCCGGUGACAAACCGGAGGAAGGUGGGGACGACGUCAAGUCAUCAUGGCCCUUACGUGUAGGGCUACACACGUGCUACAAUGGUAAGUACAGAGGGAAGCGAGACG
rnacentral:rRNA from 1 species